UACAGGGGGUGCAAACGUUGCUCGGAAUCAUUGGGCGUAAAGCGCACGUAGGCGGUCUGUUAUGUCGGAUGUGAAAGCCCUCGGCUUAACUGAGGAAGUGCAUCCGAAACUGGCAGGCUAGAGUACUAAAGAGGGUCGCGGAAUUCCCGGUGUAGAGGUGAAAUUCGUAGAUAUCAGGAGGAACACCGGUGGCGAAGGCAGGUCUCUGGGCCACUACUGACGCUGAGAAGCGAAAGCAUGGGGAGCGAACAGGA
rnacentral:rRNA from 1 species